ensembl:ncRNA F25B4.13 ncRNA
GAGGGGGUUUUGCAGAGAGGGGAGAGGGAACAGAUUGAUAAAACCGGAAAUCGUUCAAAUGUUGAUACAAGGUACAAGGCUGCUAGUGGUUUCUGUUUCUGCACUGCACCACCAACUUCCGGAUCCAAUUAAUUUGAAACCUGU